UGGGGAAUCUUCCGCAAUGGACGAAAGUCUGACGGAGCAACGCCGCGUGAGUGAAGACGUCCUUCGGGUUGUAAAGCUCUGUGAUCCGGGUCGAAAGAGCCUGAGGUAAAUAGCCUAAGGAAGUGACGGUACCGGAAAAGCAAGCCACGGCUAACUACGUGCCAGCAGCCGCGGUAAUACGUAGGUGGCAAGCGUUGUCCGGAAUUAUUGGGCGUAAAGCGCGCGCAGGCGGCUUACUAAGUCCAUCUGAAAAGUGCGGGGCUUAACCACGUGAUGGGAUGGAAACUGGAAAGCUGGAGUAUCGGAGAGGAAAGUGGAAUUCCUAGUGUAGCGGUGAAAUGCGUAGAGAUUAGGAAGAACACCGGUGGCGAAGGCGACUUUCUGAACGAAAACUGACGCUGAGGCGCGAAAGCGUGGGGAGCAAACAGG
rnacentral:rRNA from 1 species